UACGUAGGGGGGCGAGCGUUUGUCCGGAUUUAUUGGGCGUAAAGAGCGUGUAGGCGGCCAAGUAAGUCCGGUGUGAAAGUCGGGGGGCUCAACCCUCGAAUGCCGGUGGAGUACUGUCGGGCUAGAGUGCGGAAGAGGCGAGUGGAAUUCCUGGUGUGAGCGGUGAAAUGCGCAGAUAUCGAGGAGGAACACCCGGGUGGCGAAGGCGGGUCUCUGGGCCGAUACUGACGCUGGAGGAGCGAAAGCGUGGGGAGCGAACAGG
rnacentral:rRNA from 1 species